UCCACCUGUAUUCUGAGUGUGAUUGAACAUUGAAUUAGGCAGCCAUUUUCUUUCAUCAGUAAUAUUUUUGUCACAGGAUCACACACAACAGUUGAGGCUAGAAGACACAUUGAGAGAUUGUUUUAUCCAGCCCCGCUGCUCAAAGCGUGGUCUCCUAUGGCAGGAAUGCCAAUAGGCUAGGGCAUGCAAACAUUAUCAGAGGAUUUUAUCAGUAGCUAGUUGAUGUUUUGUAGCAUGGAUAUUCUGACCCUACCUGACUGAGGUAUUGUUUUCAACAUCCUCUUUAGGCUCAAGUUAGUCCAGAGCUUUCUAAUAGAUUCAUCUGCAAUUUCAUUCUCAUUGGAAAACUGGUUUUCUUUCUCGUAUGUCUAGCUGUUUGAGGUGCCAUUCUGGAAUUUGACACAGAACAUGGUUUCUGUCUGCCAUCAAAACGUGUUGUGCUUUAGUGCCUCACUGCUUAUUGAGAUCCCCAGAUAACAUGAAUCUGGAAUUUACAGAAGAUGCCUGAGAAAGCAAGAUGCAGAAUUUAGAGCUAUCAGCGAAGAGUACCAAUGGCCCAAAGUCUCUCUAAUUCUGAAAUGGAAGCACACAGCGAUAUGAAGUGGAGUACUGGUUGCAUAAUGUAACCAAGUAGCUGCAUUUUCAAUGUGGGCAGCAGACCAGAUGGUACUAUAAAAUAGGCUGUUUAUUGCUGGAAAUUAUACAUGGAGAUUAAAGUUGCAAUAAAAAAGGCUUGCACUGUAUUUCUUUGCAUAACACAGCAAUAAUUGUUUAUAUGGAGUGACACUUCGCAUUGACACUGCAAAUAAUUCAAAAGUGGUGUGUCAGGCACCCAGCCACGUGUGUGUUCAAUUCUCACCUAAACCAUUCGCUCAUGUGUGCUGAUCGUAUUCGUGGGCAGCCCCAAUGCUGUGACUUCUUUUUGUGUGGAAAUUCUCAGCUCUUGGUCAAUUGCCUUUGGGUACUUGAGCAUUACCAAUCUGGAGUGAAAAAGAAAUAAAGUAUUUCCUUUCACAGAAACUAAUCACUAGGUUGUAGAAAAUGGAUGAUUAGAAAAUUGACUAUUAAAACUACUGUUGUUAGAAAGAAAUUGCACGCUGUUGUUUGUGAACGUACUGAAGUGGACACUUCCUUCUGAAUGUCUCUGUGUCUGUUUUAUCACAGAUCACUGACUGAGAAUGGAUUCAGCUUACUUAUGAAUAGGCAAAAUAGAAAACUAGAACAAAACAAGCAAAAUACAAUACAAUCGUACGAAUGAUUUAAAGAUUAAGUCACACUAAGAAACAGUAGAGGGGAAUGCAGUGAUGUAUGAAACAAACUGAUCACCUAAGAAUAUGAAAAUAAACACAAAGACAAAACACAAACACAAUCAGGAAAAGCAGAAUUUGGGGCUACCGUAUUUAUUUAACAAAACCUCCGUGAUUCAGGAAGAAUUUCUAAUAUAUUUUACAAGUAAAAAUAAAAGCAGGAUGAAAGUGUUGAAGGCUGAAAUACUCAACCUAGAUCUUCUAACACUGGAUUUGUUUUUCAGUUCUAAUUUUUUUAUAUUGGUUCAGAAAUUCAUGCAUCAUUAGCAUUUUGUUUUCAUUAUAUAAUUCCUCCCUCCAGUUCUGUCAUAAACUGUACAAUUUUGAAGUUCAAAUAUACUGGCUGCACAAAUAA